GUGAAGCUCCAGCAAUGACAGCCUGACAGGAUUCCCUGGGCUUGAGCUUCUGUUCUGAGAUCUCCAGAAAUAGAUGCCAGGCAGCACGGAACGCUGCCCACACCUGAUGCUUCUGGACUGAGCGGAAGCUUGGAAAGUUCCUGUUGGAAAAUAGUAACGCUUCAUUGUACCUGAGUAGAGAAAUGGUCAUAUGCAAGAAACAGCAUCCUGUCUCCCACUUCCA
rnacentral:lncRNA from 1 species